rnacentral:misc_RNA from 1 species
UAAUCUCACACCCCUAGAUUUAUUCGACGGGCGGUGGACUUGGAUGCUGCCGCGUUAAGCGGCUCGUCUUAAAUGCAUUAGUGCAACUUUUGGUUGGACAUAGUACAGCGUGAUAAGUAUCUUCGCUGGCUCUCCUCACGGAGGUGUUCGAACGUUAAGCUCUGUGCUUCUAAUCGUCCCCUGGUGGACUAAGCUUCGGCUUACUUGACA